ensembl:lncRNA
GUUACGCAUUUUAAUGAGUUUGUAAUAAGCAAAGUACUACGGAAGAAGUAAUUUGCAUUUCACAGCACUAUUUAGAUAGAAUACUUUGUUAACACUCACUACAUUGAAGCAGGAAAAUUAGCCCAACUUCACAAGGAUUUAGAGUCUGAACACGUGCAGGCCAUUGUGCAGAAGAUGAUAUGCUUUUAAAGCUGGAAGAAAAGUUACUUGGUAAUACCCACAGUGAGAGAGAACAGAGGAAUACAACACCUGCACCUUAUUCACCUAGAGAAUAAGGCAGCAACAACCACUACUGGAUUUGUGCUGCGUGUCAGCAUUUCAGUGUCUCAGUUUGCACCUUGCGGUGGUGAUGCACACCAAUGUUUAGUUUGAAGGAAGCAUCCCUCCCUCCAUCCCUCCCUGCAGGCAUUCAAGCCUCCUUGGGCAACCUGUUCAGUGCGUCACCACCCUCCGCGUGAAAAGCUUCCUCCUAAUAUCUAACCGAAACCUCCCCUGUCUCAGUUUCAAACCAUUCCCCCUUGUCCUAUCACUGUCCACCCUCAUAAACAGCUGUUCCCCCUCCUGCUUAUACACUCCCUUCAAAUACUGGAAGGCCACAGUGAGGUCUCCCUGGAGCCUUCUCUUCUCCAAGCUGAACAAUCCCAGUUCCCUCAACCUUUCCUCAUAGGAGAGGUGCUCCAGCCCUCUGAGCAUCUUUGUGGCCCUCUUCUGAACCCAUUCCAAGAGCUCCACGUCUUUCUUGUGCUGAUAAUUCUUCUGCUGAUUUCAGUCUGUCAGGUUGAAGCCCUGCAGUGCUGUCUGAGUGCUGGGCUGCCAUGCAGCCUGAUGCUCCCACUGCAGUGAUGGGGCAGGAGAGUUUGUGAUCCGCUCUGAUCAGCAUUUCCCAUUUUUAUGCAUUAAAUAUAUCACACCAUUGUGUUUUGUGCUGCUUCACAGUGCCAGGUGAACACUACAGGCGUCAGCUGCCACCUCCAGACUUCCAGAGAGCCCUAUGAGAGUGUGGAACCACAGCAAAGGUAGGAGAUAAAUCUCCCACCUUAAAAUACAGAAGAUAGCAAAGCGUAUUUUCAGUGUUAUUUCUCAGUAAACUGCAGGAAUGGGUCACUGCAGGCAGCGAGGACCCCCACAUGCUGCUAAUACAGUUUAUUUAUCCCUCAAAUUCUUGCUUAAUACUCCAGGAUUCACAGCGUUGUGAUGGCCAGCUUCAGUUCUGUGUUGGUGCACUGCAACUGGGCAGACGGGGUUGUUUUGGAGAACGCAUCUUAAUUCAGGUCUAAAUUUCUCCAGUACAGAAAAUAGAAGCAAUAAGUAAUAAAUAGGCUCUUAAAUCUCUCUUCUACAAUCUUCUUCAAUAAAAGGUCAGCUAAACAUUUUGUGCCUUAUAGAAAUGGAGCAUCUGAUUGUAAAGCAAAUUCAACCAGCAAAGCAGAGCUGUUGCUUGUAGUGCAACAGAGAUAAACAGAAGGCAGAUAAAAUUCCACCCCAAACAAAGCACACACGUAAAAACCCACUCAGAUCUAUAAUUCAGUGGGUUCAAAACAUAUCCAGGCAGGUCUAUGAGGUGCUGACACCUGGGACCAGUGAUUUUACCUUGAAGGAAAUGAAGGCCUGCAUCAUUCUUUAUCUCACUCCCUGCUUUAUUUGCUGCUUUUAUUCAGCUGAAGUUCUUUUUUCUGCAGUGUCCCUCCUCCCAUCACAAGACCAGGAGUGCUUCUUCCACACUGGUUUGUCCCAAUGCCCCUUUGAACGCUGGGCUGCCACUGUGUGCCAGACAGCCAUUCAUACACACAAGCACUCAGAAAUACUCACAAAGUUCUUCUCUUCUCCUUCCUGUGCAUCACCUGCAGCUCAGUGUGUGAGCUGAGUUCUCAGCUGGGAUACACAUGUGGAAAUCACUGCCUUAUAUUCAUUAUUUGCAUCCCUCUCUAGGACAAGCACACAUAAUUGAAGAAGAUAACUCCAACUUACUCUCCCUAUGAGCAUAUUGCCAUGCCAAUAUGUCUUGAUUAGGUUGAUUUCCUCCUAAAAAGAAAGCAUUUUUGUAUUGUGGUGCCUAAGAAGAUUUCCAGCAGAGCCUGCUGCUUGAGCUCUGCUAGCGAUACUUACAUUCAGUAUUCUCAUUGCUCUUGUUUAUCUUUUUAUUAUGCUCACAUUCUCAUCCUUCAUCCCACCCGUCUCCAUCAGCGGGCCGUAACACUUUCACACCAGCAAGCAGGCCUGAAGGCAAAUAUUGUCCAAAUAUUGUCUGUCACUGCCACGUUUUGUUUUAAUUCCUGAGACCAGGAGAUCCGGCCGUGCUGCUGCACACCCAACAGCCACACAGUUUCUGGGUUCUCAGCCUGGGCCAUCCCUGUGUGCCCCACUGCCACGUUUCCCAGGAGCUGGCAGCCACCGUGCAGGUGACCUCCUGCCCCAUAGCCCAGAGCUGGGGGACUGCAGCUCAGCACAAAGGCAGCUCCAUACAGAAGGGCUGUAGCUCCAGCCGGUGUCCUCUCACAUCCCUGACACUUCCCACUCGAGUAUUUAACCCCCAGUGCUGGAGGAGGUGACAGUACUUUUUUAUGGCUUUGAGGGGGUGACCUUUUCUAUCAUCGUACUUUACUCACUUUCCCCUUCUGCAUGAAAAAAAAAAAAAAAAAAAAAAAAA